rnacentral:rRNA from 1 species
CGGAGUGGCGAACGGGUGAGUAACAUAUCGGAACGUGCCCAGUAAUGGGGGAUAGCCCGGCGAAAGCCGGAUUAAUACCGCAUACGACCUACGGGUGAAAGCGGGGGACCUGCAAGGGCCUCGCGUUAUUGGAGCGGCCGAUACCAGAUUAGCUAGUUGGUGGGGUAAAGGCCUACCAAGGCGACGAUCUGUAGCUGGUCUGAGAGGACGACCAGCCACACUGGGACUGAGACACGGUCCAG